GGGCUCGUGGUGUAGUGGCCUAACACGCGUCCCUGUCAAGGACGAGAUCGGCGGUUCGACUCCGCUCGGGCCCGCCA
rnacentral:tRNA from 1 species